GCCAAUCAGUUUGACCUCAAUCCCUGGCAAGAUCUUGGAAAAAAAUUAUCAAAUAAUCCAUUAACAACAUGCUGACGGUAGACGCCAUUCUGAGAGACAGACAACACGACUUCAUUUUGGGUCUUUCACAAACAACCAAAAGAAUUCCAAGACUAAAACUCAUUUGACAUUUCCCUCCUACCUACUUUCAGUUCUUCACCCAGGUUUAGCACUUAGAUGGUUUAUACUGUCUUGUUUUGGAAUGCAAGACUCCAGCAUCCUUGUUCUUCACAAUAUUUGGAAACAUGGAAGUGAAUUUGGACAGAAUGGACAGAAACAGAGAGAUGGUCACAUGCAGUGAAGAUGGAGACAUGCAGUCAAGAUACAUAAACCAACAACAUUCAGCACUAAUCAUUGACAGUAUUUCUGGUGUCCCUUUUGGCUCAUUUACUUUAUACAUGAAAGGGGAUUUUUUUAAAACGAUUGAAAACAUGGUAAGAAUAAAAGGUAUGAAUAAAGUAAAGCAUCAAGGCUGUUAAAGGCAAAACAUAUAUUGAGCACAAUUGAACUGUAGCACUGUAGUGCUACAACUGCCAUUCACUCUUAUUGAGAAUAAAUCUACAAGUUUGUUCAUUAGAAAAAUACAUAUAAGCUUACUCAUGAAGCUUGAUAAAAAAAUCAAGAUGUGAAAUAAUAUUUUGGCAUAAAUAUUGUUAAAAUUGCACAUUUAAUGAAAUACCUUCCAUAUGUUUACAGUUGAUGAAACUGUCAUAAAUAAUUGUAGUAUAACUGGCAAUUGUUUUAUUUCAAUGAUAAGUAUAUAACUGCUUAGUAACCACCAUACCAGCAAACUGACCCAAGCAUCCUUUUUAAAAAAUAAUUUUUAAUCCAAAUAAUAAUCAACAUAUGGCUCUGGUGACUCCCAUAUUAUUUUAAUUUUAUGCUUAGAUGAUUUUAAUAACCUUAACAUUUUUUUUAAAAACUCAUAAUUGAAAUUAAUUACUUUUUGACUGAGAGUUGCCAAAUACAGAUCACUGUACAAAGGAUAACUUAUUUUGAGAUUGGCUAUGUAAGUCUAGGAUUUCAUGUAAUAAAACCAGUUAUAUAGAAUCCCCCCCAAAAUCCAUAAUGCUCCAUUGUAUAAAAUAAGUUUAUAAUUUUAAAUAAGACAUCUUAGAAUGUUCUUCAUAGAACCCCAAAUUAUGACUGCUAAGUAUCUGACUGAAAAAAUCUUUACUACUUGUCAGAACAUAAUUAAAAGUGCUGGGUUCUAUAUAGAAUAUAGUUUUAACACUGUGGCAAGGCACUGUUGGUGCCUGCCACUUCAAGCGCUGGAGCAGGCAGCAGCCGGGUGCUUGAUUGCAGCGGCCAUUUUGAAACCAGGCUAUAAAUAGGGGAAGCAGCAGUUUGCUGUUGGCAGCCAUGAGAGAGACAUCAGCCAGCUGAGCUGAGGCUCAGGAACAUCUUUUUGGAGGUCUAUGGGCUGGGGCUAUGGGGAUGGAGGAAG